rnacentral:tRNA from 1 species
GGGGGUGUAGCUCAGCUGGGAGAGCGCCUGCUUUGCAAGCAGGAAGUCAGGGGUUCGAGUCCCCUCAUCUCCA